rnacentral:rRNA from 1 species
UACUCGAGUGGCGAACGGGUGAGUAACACGUGGGUGAUCUGCCCUGCACUUCGGGAUAAGCUUGGGAAACUGGGUCUAAUACCGGAUAGGAGCCAUCUUUAGUGUGGUGGUUGGAAAGUUUUUUCGGUGUAGGAUGAGCUCGCGGCCUAUCAGCUUGUUGGUGGGGUAAUGGCCUACCAAGGCGGCGACGGGUAGCCGGCCUGAGAGGGUGUACGGCCACAUUGGGACUGAGAUACGGCCAAG